UACGUAGGGGGCAAGCGUUGUCCGGAAUCAUUGGGCGUAAAGAGCGUGUAGGCGGUUCGGUAGGUCCGUUGUGAAAACUCGAGGCUCAACCUCGAGACGCCGAUGGAAACCCUCGAACUAGAGUCCGGAAGAGGAGAAUGGAAUUCCUGGUGUAGCGGUGAAAUGCGCAGAUAUCAGGAAGAACACCCGUGGCUAAGGCGGUUCUCUAGUACGGUACUGACGCUGAGACGCGAAAGCGUGGGGAGCGAACAGG
rnacentral:rRNA from 1 species